AAUAAAUAAGGCACUGUUGCCAGGGCCUGAGCCCAGCAGAAAAAGGGUGUGUGCAGAGGGAGGGCCUUGGGUCCUGCUGCUCCUCCUGGACUCCUUCAUCCCAAUGCCUUCACAUCCUCCUCUGACAAGGACUCCCACGUCCCUCCCCGGCUAACCUGGAUCCUGCUCAACCCAACACCUGCCUUCUCUCAGUCCCUGGGUUCCUGCAGGCCUUGGGGCCCCACAGUCAUAUCUGCUGUUCCUGCAGGGUGCAUUUCUCACCUGCACUGUGGUCCAGGAAACUCAAGUCACCGUCCCCACCAUGUUCUUCCUGACUUCAAAGCAGUCUGGUGACCCCAGGCAGGAACUGACUAGCAUGAGAGUCUUGAUGCAGCAGAAUUUUUGAAGAAAUUCAGGAGCAGAACCGAAAGGAGGAGAGAAGGUGGAGGUGGGAAAGCUGACAGCUGGAGACUGGGAG
rnacentral:lncRNA from 1 species